rnacentral:snRNA from 1 species
GUACAUAUCUGGUAGGGGAGAUAACAUGAUCAGGAAGGUGGUUUUCCCAGGACAAGGCUUAUCCAUUACGUUCUGCAUGUGCUGACCCCUGCGAUUUCCCCAAAUAUGGGAAACCAGGAUGCAUAAUUUGUGGUAGUGGGGGACUGUAUUUGCUCUUUCCCAUU